rnacentral:rRNA from 1 species
GAUGAACGCUGGCGGUGUGCCUAAUACAUGCGAGUCGAGCGAACAGACGAGGAGCUUGCUCCUUUGACGUUAGCGGCGGACGGGUGAGUAACACGUGGGUAACCUACCUAUAAGACUGGGAUAACUUCGGGAAACCGGAGCUAAUACCGGAUAAUAUUUCGAACCGCAUGGUUCGAUAGUGAAAGAUGGCUUUGCUAUCACUUAUAGAUGGACCUGCGCCGUAUUAGCUAGUUGGUAAGGUAACGGCUUACCAAGGCAACGAUACGUAGCCGACCUGAGAGGGUGAUCGGCCACACUGGAACUGAGACACGGUCCAGACUCCUACGGGAGGCAGCAGUAGGGAAUCUUCCGCAAUGGGCGAAAGCCUGACGGAGCAACGCCGCGUGAGUGAUGAAGGUCUUCGGAUCGUAAAACUCUGUUAUUAGGGAAGAACAAACGUGUAAGUAACUGUGCACGUCUUGACGGUACCUAAUCAGAAAGCCACGGCUAACUACGUG